rnacentral:rRNA from 1 species
CAAUAGCGUAUAUUAAAGUUGUUGCGGUUAAAAAGCUCGUAGUUGGAUCUCGGCAGGCAGGGGGUGGUUCGCUCUUAGCGCUACUGCCCCAUUUGCCUGUGUGAUUGGCGGAGGUUUCGGGGUGCUCUUCGUUGAGUGACCCGGGGCGCCGUCAGGUUUACUUUGAAAAAAUUAGAGUGCUCAAAGCAGACUUUUCACGCUUGAAUAUUCGUGCAUGGAAUAAUGGAAUAGGAACUCGUUUCUAUUUUGUUGGUUUUCGGAAAUCGAGUUAAUGAUUAAUAGGGACAAUUGGGGGCAUUAGUAUUCAGACGACAGAGGUGAAAUUCUUGGACCGUCUGAAGACUAACUACUGCGAAAGCAUUUGCCAAGAGUGUUUUCAUUAA